GGUUAAGCGACUAAGCGUACACGGUGGAUGCCCUGGCAGUCAGAGGCGAUGAAGGACGUGCUAAUCUGCGAUAAGCGUCGGUAAGGUGAUAUGAACCGUUAUAACCGGCGAUUUCCGAAUGGGGAAACCCAGUGUGAUUCGUCACACUAUCAUUAACUGAAUCCAUAGGUUAAUGAGGCGAACCGGGGGAACUGAAACAUCUAAGUACCCCGAGGAAAAGAAAUCAACCGAGAUUCCCCCAGUAGCGGCGAGCGAACGGGGAGGAGCCCAGAGCCUGAAUCAGUGUGUGUGUUAGUGGAAGCGUCUGGAAAGGCGCGCGAUACAGGGUGACAGCCCCGUACACAAAAAUGCACAUGCUGUGAGCUCGAUGAGUAGGGCGGGACACGUGGUAUCCUGUCUGAAUAUGGGGGGACCAUCCUCCAAGGCUAAAUACUCCUGACUGACCGAUAGUGAACCAGUACCGUGAGGGAAAGGCGAAAAGAACCCCGGCGAGGGGAGUGAAAAAGAACCUGAAACCGUGUACGUACAAGCAGUGGGAGCACAGAGCAAUCUGUGUGACUGCGUACCUUUUGUAUAAUGGGUCAGCGACUUAUAUUCUGUAGCAAGGUUAACCGAAUAGGGGAGCCGAAGGGAAACCGAGUCUUAACUGGGCGUUAAGUUGCAGGGUAUAGACCCGAAACCCGGUGAUCUAGCCAUGGGCAGGUUGAAGGUUGGGUAACACUAACUGGAGGACCGAACCGACUAAUGUUGAAAAAUUAGCGGAUGACUUGUGGCUGGGGGUGAAAGGCCAAUCAAACCGGGAGAUAGCUGGUUCUCCCCGAAAGCUAUUUAGGUAGCGCCUCGUGAAUUCAUCUCCGGGGGUAGAGCACUGUUUCGGCAAGGGGGUCAUCCCGACUUACCAACCCGAUGCAAACUGCGAAUACCGGAGAAUGUUAUCACGGGAGACACACGGCGGGUGCUAACGUCCGUCGUGAAGAGGGAAACAACCCAGACCGCCAGCUAAGGUCCCAAAGUCAUGGUUAAGUGGGAAACGAUGUGGGAAGGCCCAGACAGCCAGGAUGUUGGCUUAGAAGCAGCCAUCAUUUAAAGAAAGCGUAAUAGCUCACUGGUCGAGUCGGCCUGCGCGGAAGAUGUAACGGGGCUAAACCAUGCACCGAAGCUGCGGCAGCGACGCUUAUGCGUUGUUGGGUAGGGGAGCGUUCUGUAAGCCUGUGAAGGUGUGCUGUGAGGCAUGCUGGAGGUAUCAGAAGUGCGAAUGCUGACAUAAGUAACGAUAAAGCGGGUGAAAAGCCCGCUCGCCGGAAGACCAAGGGUUCCUGUCCAACGUUAAUCGGGGCAGGGUGAGUCGACCCCUAAGGCGAGGCCGAAAGGCGUAGUCGAUGGGAAACAGGUUAAUAUUCCUGUACUUGGUGUUACUGCGAAGGGGGGACGGAGAAGGCUAUGUUGGCCGGGCGACGGUUGUCCCGGUUUAAGCGUGUAGGCUGGUUUUCCAGGCAAAUCCGGAAAAUCAAGGCUGAGGCGUGAUGACGAGGCACUACGGUGCUGAAGCAACAAAUGCCCUGCUUCCAGGAAAAGCCUCUAAGCAUCAGGUAACAUCAAAUCGUACCCCAAACCGACACAGGUGGUCAGGUAGAGAAUACCAAGGCGCUUGAGAGAACUCGGGUGAAGGAACUAGGCAAAAUGGUGCCGUAACUUCGGGAGAAGGCACGCUGAUAUGUAGGUGAAGUCCCUCGCGGAUGGAGCUGAAAUCAGUCGAAGAUACCAGCUGGCUGCAACUGUUUAUUAAAAACACAGCACUGUGCAAACACGAAAGUGGACGUAUACGGUGUGACGCCUGCCCGGUGCCGGAAGGUUAAUUGAUGGGGUUAGCGCAAGCGAAGCUCUUGAUCGAAGCCCCGGUAAACGGCGGCCGUAACUAUAACGGUCCUAAGGUAGCGAAAUUCCUUGUCGGGUAAGUUCCGACCUGCACGAAUGGCGUAAUGAUGGCCAGGCUGUCUCCACCCGAGACUCAGUGAAAUUGAACUCGCUGUGAAGAUGCAGUGUACCCGCGGCAAGACGGAAAGACCCCGUGAACCUUUACUAUAGCUUGACACUGAACAUUGAGCCUUGAUGUGUAGGAUAGGUGGGAGGCUUUGAAGUGUGGACGCCAGUCUGCAUGGAGCCGACCUUGAAAUACCACCCUUUAAUGUUUGAUGUUCUAACGUUGACCCGUAAUCCGGGUUGCGGACAGUGUCUGGUGGGUAGUUUGACUGGGGCGGUCUCCUCCUAAAGAGUAACGGAGGAGCACGAAGGUUGGCUAAUCCUGGUCGGACAUCAGGAGGUUAGUGCAAUGGCAUAAGCCAGCUUGACUGCGAGCGUGACGGCGCGAGCAGGUGCGAAAGCAGGUCAUAGUGAUCCGGUGGUUCUGAAUGGAAGGGCCAUCGCUCAACGGAUAAAAGGUACUCCGGGGAUAACAGGCUGAUACCGCCCAAGAGUUCAUAUCGACGGCGGUGUUUGGCACCUCGAUGUCGGCUCAUCACAUCCUGGGGCUGAAGUAGGUCCCAAGGGUAUGGCUGUUCGCCAUUUAAAGUGGUACGCGAGCUGGGUUUAGAACGUCGUGAGACAGUUCGGUCCCUAUCUGCCGUGGGCGCUGGAGAACUGAGGGGGGCUGCUCCUAGUACGAGAGGACCGGAGUGGACGCAUCACUGGUGUUCGGGUUGUCAUGCCAAUGGCACUGCCCGGUAGCUAAAUGCGGAAGAGAUAAGUGCUGAAAGCAUCUAAGCACGAAACUUGCCCCGAGAUGAGUUCUCCCUGACUCCUUGAGAGUCCUGAAGGAACGUUGAAGACGACGACGUUGAUAGGCCGGGUGUGUAAGCGCAGCGAUGCGUUGAGCUAACCGGUACUAAUGAACCGUGAGGCUUAACCUU
rnacentral:rRNA from 1 species